AUCAUUGCCUGGAGUGUUGGUCUGAUAUAGGCGCGUGCGUUGAUAAUAUUUUUGCAUUUGGAAGGUAUUUGUAUUUUGAAUAGGGGCGUGUGAACCGCUUACCAACAUUUUUCAUCUGAAACAUUGGACCUGAUAUAAGGAGGAUACAAGACAUGAUCAGAAAGGCCAUUUUCCUGCUCUUGCUCUCCAUGAUGUCAGUGGUAAUUGGACAAAGUACUUCUGAUUUAACAACCGGUGGUGUUACUAUGCCAGCUGACAGCGGUACCAGCUUUUUGCGGUCAGGAUUGGGGGUCUUAUUCCUGACUUUGGCUGUUCCCCUCCUACGUCUCCUCAGAUGAACAUUAUUUCCACCCCGAGAUGGAAUAUUCUGACAGAUUAGAUUUUAAAAUCUUAAUUGAAUAAACUAAAUUAAAACAU
rnacentral:sRNA from 1 species